rnacentral:rRNA from 1 species
AUCACAAUGCGGGACUUGUAGUCUUGCAAUUGGAUUGAGAACAACGUAAAACUCUUAUCGAUAAGCCAUUGGAGGGCAAGUCUGGUGCCAGCAGCCGCGGUAAUUCCAGCUCCAAUAGCGUAUAUUAACGUUGUUGCAGUUAAAAAGCUCGUAGUUGAAGUGAGGGAGUGUGUGUUGUGAUCGAAUCGAUCGAGAGCAGUACAACCUCCCCCUUCCAAUGGGUGUAUUGGGGUAUUCAUUUACUUCAUUACUCCUUUGGUCGUUUACUGUGAGAAAAUUAGAGUGUUCAAAGCGGGCGUUUGUUUGAAUAGAUUAGCAUGGAAUAAUGAUUGAAGGCUUUCGUGUUCGAUUUGAUUGGUUUGUUCAUGGAAGCAAGGUUAAAAGGAACAGUUGGGGGUAUUCAUAUUCACUAGUUAGAGGUGAAAUUCUCGGAUUUAUGGAAGAUGAAC